rnacentral:rRNA from 1 species
AAAAAAAAUAGCGCGGUGGUCCCACCUGACCCCAUGCCGAACUCAGAAGUGAAACGCCGUAGCGCCGAUGGUAGUGUGGGGUCCUGUCACGCAGGGGGUCGCGGGUUCGAGUCCCGUCCGUUCCGCCACAUACAAUUCCUGGGGU